rnacentral:rRNA from 1 species
AGCUCCUCCAACCCCUGUGACAUACCACUUGUUGCCUCGGCGGAUCAGCCCGCUCCCGGUAAAACGGGACGGCCCGCCAGAGGACCCCUAAACUCUGUUUCUAUAUGUAACUUCUGAGUAAAACCAUAAAUAAAUCAAAACUUUCAACAACGGAUCUCUUGGUUCUGGCAUCGAUGAAGAACGCAGCAAAAUGCGAUAAGUAAUGUGAAUUGCAGAAUUCAGUGAAUCAUCGAAUCUUUGAACGCACAUUGCGCCCGCCAGUAUUCUGGCGGGCAUGCCUGUUCGAGCGUCAUUUCAACCCUCAAGCACAGCUUGGUGUUGGGACUCGCGUUAAUUCGCGUUCCUCAAAUUGAUUGGCGGUCACGUCGAGCUUCCAUAGCGUAGUAGUAAAACCCUCGUUACUGGUAAUCGUCGCGGCCACGCCGUUAAACCCCAACUUCUGAAUGUUGACCUCGGAUCAGGUAGGAAUACCCGCUGAACUUAAGCAUAUCAA